rnacentral:rRNA from 1 species
GACGAACGCUGGCGGCGUGCUUAACACAUGCAAGUCGAACGAAGUGGCGAACGGGUGAGUAACGCGUAAUCAACCUGCCCUUCAGAGGGGGACAACAGUUGGAAACGAAUGCUAAUACAGCAUACUGAAGGAGGGGAUUGCGUCUGAUUAGCUAGUUGGGGGGGUAACGGCCCACGAAGGCGAUGAUCAGUAGCCGGGCUGGUAUGAUGAACGGCCCCAUUUGGACUGGGGACCGGCCCAGACUCCUACGGGGGGCAGCAGUGGGGAAUCUUCCGCAAUUGACGAAAGUCUGACGGAGCAACGCCGCGUGGGUGAUGACGGCCUUCGGGUUGUAAAGCUCUGUUAAUCGGGACGCGGUACCGGAAUAGAAAGCCACGGCUAACUACGUGCCAGCAGCCGCGGUAAUUC